rnacentral:misc_RNA from 1 species
AAGUCGUAACAAGGUUUCCGUAGGUGAACCUGCGGAAGGAUCAUUAACACGUAUCCAAACGUAAAACCCCCCGUGAACCUUAACCCUGCUCUCCUGACGUUCGAGAGAAGCGAAAGAAACGCCCCAUGACUCUGUGGGCCGUUUCUUGAACUUUCUCGAAGGAGUGUGGAUAGAUGCGGGUCGCAAGUAGGCUUGCGGCUGCUGUCUGUUAACAAUGGAUAUCUUGGUUCUC